rnacentral:lncRNA from 1 species
GUGCAGCGCAGCGGUAGCAGCGGCGGCAGCACCAUCGCCGCUCGCACCCCAGCCGCCCGGCCCGCGAGGAGGCAGCGGCGACCGCCGGAGCGAGCGGAGGAGGCGGCGGAGCGCGCGGAGAGGCGGGGAGGAGCAGCAGCAGGGGCGCGCGGACGCUGGUCCACGCAUCUCGGCACUUCCAGACCAACUCCGGCGCCUUCCACACCCCGGCCCCGGGCUGGGGGCUCCGAGAACCGCCGCGAAGCCACCCGAUCCUUCCCCUGAUCGCUGCCCAGCCCUGCCCUGCGCCUCCCGGGCUCCGGUCCGCGCGGCGGGGUCCCCACUCCUGCGCCCCGGGCGCGCCUCCCGGACUCCCCGGUCCCUGCAGCCAGGACAAAAGCCAUGAAGCCGGCGCUGCUGGAAGUGAUGAGGAUGAACAGAAUUUGCCGGAUGGUGCUGGCCACUUGCUUGGGAUCCUUUAUCCUGGUCAUCUUCUAUUUCCAAAGUAUGUUGCACCCAGGUAGGGGGCG